AUUGAAAAAAAAUGUUUAAGGGGACAUUUCUCUCUCCUAAACUUUUUAUGUUCCAUUGAAGACCUGGAAAACAUGUUAAAUAAAAAUGCUUUGCCACAGCUGACCUAUGUCUUCUGGCUUGUACCCCACAACAUCUUAUCUAAUGGGCUACAGAGAAACAAGGAGACGGGAGAGCCUUGAAAUGGACCUUCAAGAUUACAAUGUGUAGCUGACAUUGUCAGUUAAGUUGGGCAGAUCUGACUUCGCUGAUUAAGUGGAUGUAUGAGCCGAUCCUCCCCAGAAGCUGGGAUCAGCUUCCCCAUCUGAUGAGCCAGUCUUGGUGCUCUGUGUUCACCUGGUUCAUCUGAGGAGCUGCAUCUACCCUGCCCAUGCCAUAGAUCCUGCCCUGUUUGCUUCUCCUGUUGCUGCUAGUGGACAUGAGGUAACCACAGCCUAGUUCUGUGAUAAGCUCUUCACACCUGUACCCAUAUGGACUGUGGGAGAGUUUCUCUGAUAUGGACUGUGAUGCGGAAGGACAGAAUAACGGGCUCCCAGAUUCACAAGCCCCACCAAGAGGAUCACCCCAGGAACGCUUGGAGGCUGAGGAGUUCACUGAGGCUACUGCAUCUUGAGACUCAGGAUGAAGACCCAGCUUGGGGCUGUCAAAGGUUUUUUGCAUGUCUGACACCCAUGACUCCACCUGGACCUUAUGGCUCCACCCAGAAGCAAUUCAGCCCAACAGGAGGACAGCUUCAACCCAUUACGAUUUCAUCUCUGCCCCAACCACUCAGCAGCAAGCACCUGUUACCUGUCCACCCCCACCCCUUCCCCCAAACUGCCUUUGAAAAAUCCCUAACCUAUGAGCUUUGAAUAAGAUGAGUACGAACUUCAUCGCCCACGUGGCGUGGCCGGCCUCGUGUCUAUUAAAUUCUUUUUCUACUACAA
ensembl:lncRNA PVT1 Pvt1 oncogene